UGGGUGUAGCCCUAAAAAAAAAGCAAUAAAUAGUGCUGCAAUGAACAUGCGGGUGCCUGUGUCUUUUUUAAGGAAAGUUUUGUCCGGAUAUAUGUACAUGUAUGUGUAACUGGGUCACCAUGAUGUAGAGUAGAAAAAAAAUUUUUAUUGGGGAAAUAACAAUUAAAAAAAUUUUUAAGCAAUAAAUAAAUAAAAUUUAAAAAAUAAAAAACGGAGAUGAAAAUGUGUUAAUGUGCAUAUAUAUAUAUAUAUUUAUAUUUAUAUUUAUAUUUAUAGUCAUACAUUUGUUUCCUAACUCUGUCCACUGAAAGGUACUAGGAAAAGCAGCAGUAUCCCAUAUCAAAUCUUGUUUUUUAAAUUCCAUAGUCCACUAAAAGAAAUAAGGACUCCUUGGAGAAUUGACUGAUUCCUGCUCACUACAAGUAGAAAGAAUCCCUCUAACCUCUGAAUCCUCAUGGUGCUGUACAUUCAUUUAGUGGAAAUAACAGUACCCUGCUCUAUGCCAAGGCUAUCAGGGUUAUCUCUGUCAACACCAGUGAUUUUAGAGAGAAUGACAAAUAUAGAAGAUGUGGAAGACAAGUACUGGACAUGUCCUGAUCAAGACAAAUAUUGAAAGGAACACAAAUGGGAAAAAAUUGAUCCUAACUGGAAGCUAUAUGGCUGCCAUGAAAAUUAAAUCCUGGUGAGUUUCUCAGUAUGUGAACUAUUGUACUCUUACAGAGAAAUCUAGGCACAGGCUAGGACUGAGAUUCAGGACAGAAAAAAUGACCCAUAAUAGUUUAAAACCAUGAAACAGACAGUGAUGGAUAAUUCAUCUAAUAAUCCAAUUCGCCAAGUGUUACAUACUUAAGUUCUAAGUAAAGGAACCACUGAACUAGAAUGGCAGUUAGAGGAAAUCCAAAAUUCUGAAAGUAGUAGGGGCCAAAAGGAAUUAAGGUCACCUGUCAAAAGGAAUGAUACUAAGAGUAAUGCUAGGAAUCUAGACUCACAUGAACCCAGUGAUCACAAAACACAUCCUACUGGUAACAGAGAAAUACACCUAAAGAAUAAAUGUGGUCGGUUCUAUAAAAAUGCAUCAUCUUCCCUGGGAAAGAAACUGAAAACAUACUUCUUUAUUUGUGUUGUUUAAAUCUACAGUAACCAAAAGGGCUAUCU
rnacentral:lncRNA from 1 species